AGGCUGUGCAUGCCUGGCGUCAUCAAGGCGCGCCGCCCCGCUUGAGUCGUAGUGAGUCGUCGGAAAACGUUUGUCUAGCUUUUCUCUGCUGGCGUGCACCUUGCACCCCCGAUUCGUGCCGGGCCUCUUUAGCCGGGCGGCAGAAGCUCAAAUCCAGGGUUCAUUUCAGGCUAGGUGGGCUCAGCGCUGUGUGGCUGGCAGGCCGCGGCAGCUGGAACCCGGGCUGCAGGGCGCCCUCAGGAUCUGCAGCAUGAAGGUGCACGAGAAUGAGGAGGAAGCCUACAAGCUGCUCAGCGAAUAUAGUGACUGCACCUAGGGCCCGGAGGUACGCCUGGAGCAGGCGAACUGGCCUGAAGGCUUUUGCGGGAAGGAUAAGGACACGAGAAGACCUGCUACCUCUCUACUCCUGGACGCUUCGCCUCGCGGUGUAGUCAGGCUUGCGGACUACGCUGGGUGGGCUUAUUCUUGAUGUGGUGACCUUGACUUUUCUUUCCAUGAUUAAACCUUUUGUUGAUUGCGUUCUGCGUUCAAGCGAUGUGCUGAAGAACUUUGAGAACCAUGCACGUCUUGCCUUGUGAAGUUGUAUAUAGUAAUUUCUGCCCCAAGCCACAAACAAUACUUCUGAGGCAUCAAGGACUUGGAGCCAUCCCUGCACAGAGCCCUGCUUGCUAACAGCAGCUGGAGUUGCCUGCAGAUGCCAGAGGUCACCUGGGAACCCAGCUUAAUACAAUGACCAAGUGAAAUUCUGAGAUCUAUUCCCAGAUAGAUGGGUUGUGAACGUGAGAAGGUCAGUGAUUGUUUCAUGGCUGUGUUCUCUGUAUGUAUUUAACAUUUCAGUCCAGCUGGCCCUAUUUACCAUGCAGACAUUCCUUGAUUAACAGAUGACUAAAUACACCAUCAAACCUAUAGUGUCAGAGAGAACAUGUAGCUGGACGGGUGGAGGCGCAGGAGAGUGUGGUUUAAAGAGGUCUGGGGAGACCUUUUGGAGGAAGGGUGGUCUAUCAGGAAGGACCACCUUAUCUCCAAGAGAACAUUCUUACCUCCCGUUUUCCACUUGUCUUUGUAAUACUGUCUGAUUAAUUAUCAAGCCUACUGAGCACAGUUCAAGUUAGUUAUUCACACACUGAUUGUCACCGUUCUGCUGAAAUCAGCUGUACGGAGAGUGAGACGAUGAUGGUGGGGGAGGAGAUUUUGGAGAGUGGAAUUAGAUGAAGAAUGAGCACAGGGAGUCCACGGCAGUUGGAAAGACCCCGCUCUUCUCCCCUUGUGUGAAUGUGGAGUUUGUUGCCACUAAGCGGGAAGGAUCUGCUCAGAUGGAGUUGGUAGAGAGAGCACAGACAGCAGACGCAGACUAAGAAAUUAACUAACUUCACGUGAGUGUUUGGAUGUACAUGUACCUGUAUUCAGUGACGCCUUGGUUUACAAGCUUAAUUUGUUUUACGAUUUUGGGAAAGAUGGCUCCGUUUUAUUUGUGUAGUGAAUGGCUGUGGUCAUGUUUGUUAUCCAAUACAGAGUUUAUGAACAGAAGUAACAUUUUGCCGAACACUUUUGUGAACCAAAUUGUUUGCAAACAGAAACAUCCAUGAACUGAAGUGUUACCAUACCAUCUCACUUAUAUGAGCUAAAGGAAAUUUAACCAAGUUUAAUGGUGCAUGAAUGCAGUCCCAGCACUCUGGGAGGCUGAGGCAAGAGGAUCACAGGUUUGAGCAACUUAGUGAUUUAACAAGACCCUGGCUCAAAAUUUUAAAAAAUAAAUAAAAAUAAAAAAGAAGGGCUGGGAGGUAGCUCCACGUGAAGGCCUUAGGUUCAUUCCCCAAUACUGCAAGGGAAAUACAUUAUUUAUUUUAAUUUAAGUCCAUUUGAGUUGAGUUUCUGCUACUUGCCACCAAAAGAAUUCCAGUCUUCUUUGGGACACAACUCAUCUGUAAAGUUGAUUGCCUGGUCUAUGGUUUUGCCAUGUGUGCCGCAGUGAAAAUUCAGUGACUACUUCUGAUUUAGCUUUUAGUGAAACAGAAUUUAAAAGUAAGAAAUUGCUGUUUUGCUUAGUGAUGUUUGCCCAGCUCUCCUCGGAUUGGAUAUAAACUACUGGCCACAGUGAUUCAGCAACUGCUGGGUGCUCAAAGACUGUGCUUGCCCCUUGGAAGGGCCUGGUACGGUCCCUGCGGGGAGGAGGAGGCUGCUCACCGCACCCUCCGAGUGGAGGUCUCCCUCCCUGCCAAGUCGCUCCUUUCUAGUAAUGGCAAAAGUACAAACCCAGAGAGCUGAGGACGCCAUCAGCUCUCUGACAAACCGGAAAUACCCGUCACUGCCUCCGGGCUGUGUAAGUUUCCUCUUUUCACAACAGCAGUUUUUUCUGAUUGGCUAGGAGCUGAAGAUGACGCUGGGGAAUUAAUUUGGACAGAACAGAGAUGGAGUCUGGUACCCAUUAAGUGACUCGCACAUUACAACAUCCUACUUCUGAAAGAAAUUAAUUUUUAAACGGUAGCUCCUGGCUUAAAAUACAAAAAUAAGGUUCAAUAGAGUACAAAAAAAUUAAAUAAAAUUCCUUCCCCUAGUGCCUUGCCUGUAGAAUUUAAUCCUUGAGAACCAGUCCUCAUGGGAGGCUGUGACAUUCUCUCCAUGAAACAGCUGGUGAAAUAGCCUGGGGUUUUGGCACGUGCCCCCAUUCAUAUAGUAAGACAUGGCCGGCGUGGAAUUUGGACUCAUCUCUGGACUCAAGCAUGCCUGGUACUUUCUCCAUUUUCAUACCACUAAUUUGGAGAAGAAACAGAAGGCCACAUAGACAUUAGUUUGAGAGCAGUUAAUGCUUUUGCCAGGUGAUAGGAUACUGCCUUUUUUAUCUAUCACCUAGAAUGAAACGAACAAUGCAAUUUUUAAAUCUUUUUUCACAAAAAGAAAAUGGGUUUUGAAUAGUUGUGUAAUGAACAGCAGAAACCUGUGAAACAUCCGCUCUUCGUUUAUUGACCCACUCACAUGUUUUCUUAACCCACCUGGACAUCACAGAGUAAGAGUAAUAUUCCUCUUUCCAUGGAGCCCAGUUUAAUUUCUUGUCCUUUCUGAUUGGUACUAAUUACUCCUUAUUGAAAGGACAUGUAUAUAAAUAUGUAAAAACUCAUUUUAUGUAGCUUCUAUUGCAAUGGCAAGUGUGAACACCAAUACAACACCCAUUUAUUUGUAUUUGUAUUGAAGGGCACUGAUCAGGAUCAUUCCUAGAAUAUCAAGCCCUGAUCUCUGGUGGUCUAGGACUUAUACAGGACAAGCAAGCAGGAAGUACAGAGGCAGAAUGGCUUGCCAACUGGGGAUUAAUUUAUACAGUGUGCAUCAUAGUGAUGAGCUAUGCAGCAUAGUGACCAUUUGUUUCUAAGAAAAAGAAGCAACUGGAGCAGAAACUACUUUCUGGCAACUAAGAAACUAAAGUAUCCUGGCUGGAAGGGCACAUUUUCUGUUACACUAUAUCAUGAGAAUGAAAGUUAGGAUUCUAUCUUGGGAUGAAAACAAUGUGAUAUUUUUAUACAAUGGAAUAUUACUCAGCUAUAAAAAGGAUGGUCUUGAGGCUUCUAUAGGUAAAUAGAGGCAACUUGAGAUUAUCCUCAAGUGAAAUAAGUGAAAUAAAAUCAGACUCACAUUUGUAAUAUCAUAACGUCUCUCUAGUAUAAAAAUAAUGAUAAAAACUGAAAUUAAUAAAAUCUAAAAUGUAUAAUAAAAAUUGAGAUAAUGAAAGGGAAAGAAAGGAUAUAACUGUAUGUGUGUUUAAGUGUGCAAGAUGGAUAACCAUACUGCUAAGUUCUUGUUACUUCAUCAGACAGAAGGGUUUGUACUGUCAUUGAUUGUCCACUUUUUAUGCUUUGAUUUUGUGACUUGAGCAACUACUUCUAAGAUAACUAUAUGUAAUUUAUAUGUGAUUUCUUACUUUUUUUGAAAUUCUGCAUUAUUUCUACCCUUUUUUCUGUUUUGCUGUUUUUCUCUAAAUAAAAAAAAUCUAUUCUGUUUUGACUGA